rnacentral:rRNA from 1 species
UACGUAGGGUGCAAGCGUUGUCCGGAAUUAUUGGGCGUAAAGGGCUCGUAGGCGGUCCAUCACGUCGGGGAGUGAAAAGCUGGGGCUUAACCCCAGUCCUGCUUCCGAUACGGGUGGACUAGAGGUAGGCAGGGGAGAACGGAAUCCUGGUGUAGCCGGUGAAAUGCGCAGAUAUCAGGAGGAACACCGGUGGCGAAGGCGGUUCUCUGGGCCUACCUGACGCUGAGGAGCGAAAGCGUGGGGAGCAAACAGG